UAUCAUCAAAAUAAUAAAAAAAAAUAUUAACAAAAGUACAAUAUAAAAUACAUCAAAAUAUCAUAUUUUAUAUUUUAUGUAAAUAAAAUUUUAAAAAUUGUAUAAAUACAUAAUAAUUUUUUUUUUUCUAGGAAAAAUAAUUCCUUCAUCUUCAAUGGCUAGCGAAUAGGCCCAUAUUAAAGGCCCAACAAGAACAAGAACAAACCCCUAAAAACACUACAGUUAUUACCUCUCUCUCUCGUUCAUCUUCUCUCUCACUCUUCUUCUCAGGCCUUUCCACCGCCGAGUGCCGAUCCCUCGCUCAACGGCACCGCCUCUAACUCUAUCUCUCUCACGCAGAUCAGGAUGGGCUAUUAUGAUUACUUGAAUGUUAAAAUGCAUUCUUCAUGCAAAAUAAUAAAAUUGUUGUAGCUAUAUUUUUGGUUAAAAAAGACCAUGCAAGUUGGUCUUAGCAUAUUCUUUUUAUUUUACUCUGGUAUAUGUUUUGUAUUAUCAAUUUCUUACAUUAAAACAAAAUCUUCAUUUAAGAAAGAUGCUUGAAGGAUGGAUUA